ensembl:miRNA
CCUGCCUGCAGAAAGGAGCUACUCACUCCAGUUCUCCUCAUGGCUGAGAGCUGGACACUUGUUGGGAUGACCUGCCUGUGGAUAGG